rnacentral:rRNA from 1 species
AGAGUUUGAUCCUGGCUCAGGAUGAACGCUAGCUACAGGCUUAACACAUGCAAGUCGAGGGGCAUCAGGGUGUAGCAAUACACCGCUGGCGACCGGCGCACGGGUGAGUAACACGUAUCCAACCUGCCCUUUACUCGGGGAUAGCCUUUCGAAAGAAAGAUUAAUACCCGAUGGUAUAACAUGACCUCCUGGUUUUGUUAUUAAAGAAUUUCGGUAGAGGAUGGGGAUGCGUUCCAUUAGGCAGUUGGCGGGGUAACGGCCCACCAAACCUUCGAUGGAUAGGGGUUCUGAGAGGAAGGUCCCCCACAUUGGAACUGAGACACGGUCCAAACUCCUACGGGAGGCAGCAGUGAGGAAUAUUGGUCAAUGGGCGAGAGCCUGAACCAGCCAAGUAGCGUGAAGGAUGACUGCCCUAUGGGUUGUAAACUUCUUUUAUAUGGGAAUAAAGUGUUCCACGUGUGGGAUUUUGUAUGUACCAUAUGAAUAAGGAUCGGCUAACUCCGUGCCAGCAGCCGCGGUAAUACGGAGGAUCCGAGCGUUAUCCGGAUUUAUUGGGUUUAAAGGGAGCGUAGAUGGAUGUUUAAGUCAGUUGUGAAAGUUUGCGGCUCAACCGUAAAAUUGCAGUUGAUACUGGAUAUCUUGAGUGCAGUUGAGGCAGGCGGAAUUCGUGGUGUAGCGGUGAAAUGCUUAGAUAUCACGAAGAACUCCGAUUGCGAAGGCAGCCUGCUAAGCUGCAACUGACAUUGAGGCUCGAAAGUGUGGGUAUCAAACAGGAUUAGAUACCCUGGUAGUCCACACGGUAAACGAUGAAUACUCGCUGUUUGCGAUAUACAGCAAGCGGCCAAGCGAAAGCGUUAAGUAUUCCACCUGGGGAGUACGCCGGCAACGGUGAAACUCAAAGGAAUUGACGGGGGCCCGCACAAGCGGAGGAACAUGUGGUUUAAUUCGAUGAUACGCGAGGAACCUUACCCGGGCUUGAACUGCAGGAGAACGAUUCAGAGAUGAUGAGGUCCUUCGGGACUCCUGUGGAGGUGCUGCAUGGUUGUCGUCAGCUCGUGCCGUGAGGUGUCGGCUUAAGUGCCAUAACGAGCGCAACCCUUAUCGAUAGUUACCAUCAGGUGAUGCUGGGGACUCUGUCGAGACUGCCGUCGUAAGAUGUGAGGAAGGUGGGGAUGACGUCAAAUCAGCACGGCCCUUACGUCCGGGGCUACACACGUGUUACAAUGGGGGGUACAGAAGGCAGCUACCUGGUGACAGGAUGCUAAUCCCAAAAACCUCUCUCAGUUCGGAUCGAAGUCUGCAACCCGACUUCGUGAAGCUGGAUUCGCUAGUAAUCGCGCAUCAGCCAUGGCGCGGUGAAUACGUUCCCGGGCCUUGUACACACCGCCCGUCAAGCCAUGGGAGCCGGGGGUACCUGAAGUGCGUAACCGCGAGGAGCGCCCUAGGGUAAAACUGGUGACUGGGGCUAAGUCGUAACAAGGUAGCCGUACCGGAAGGUGCGGCUG